rnacentral:rRNA from 1 species
AAAAACUCCGGUGGUGUGAGAUGGAUCCGCGUCUGAUUAGCCAGUUGGCGGGGUAACGGCCCACCAAAGCGACGAUCAGUAGCCGGCCUGAGAGGGUGACCGGCCACAUUGGGACUGAGACACGGCCCAAACUCCUACGGGAGGCAGCAGUGGGGAAUAUUGCACAAUGGGCGAAAGCCUGAUGCAGCGACGCCGCGUGAGUGAAGAAGUAUUUCGGUAUGUAAAGCUCUAUCAGCAGGGAAGAAAAUGACGGUACCUGACUAAGAAGCCCCGGCUAACUACGUGCCAGCAGCCGCGGUAAUACGUAGGGGGCAAGCGUUAUCCGGAUUUACUGGGUGUAAAGGGAGCGUAGACGGCGAAGCAAGUCUGAAGUGAAAACCCAGGGCUCAACCCUGGGACUGCUUUGGAAACUGUUUUGCUAGAGUGUCGGAGAGGUAAGUGGAAUUCCUAGUGUAGCGGUGAAAUGCGUAGAUAUUAGGAGGAACACCAGUGGCGAAGGCGGCUUACUGGACGAUAACUGACGUUGAGGCUCGAAAGCGUGGGGAGCAAACAGGAUUAGAUACCCUGGUAGUCCACGCCGUAAAC